AUACGUGCUCCAAACAAUUUUGACAACACGGAAUAAGAUGCAUUCUAUGCAUCUUAACACGGAAUAAAUUUUAACGUGCAUCCUCUGUCAGAAAUUUAAAAGUUGUCGGUAAUUUUUAUUCAUAAUUAAUUAAUUUUCGAUUCGUCUGUGGAGAAGAGAAAGUAGCAAAAAUGUAAUUAUCUCCAAGAGGUAUAAACAAAUCAAAAGUCUGGCAAGAAAACUAUGAAUGAGAUUCACAGGAAAAAAUCUCUGAAAUUAUAGAAUAUGCUCUAAACAUUUCACUUCGUAGUCAUAUAUUGAUACAAUAAAGCUUAGAUGCUGAAGUUUAAUCAGCCACAAAUACUAAAAAGAAAGUGGUACAAUUUUCCACUGGAAAUUUUCCCAUGAGUCACCCAGGUAAAGGAAGUUGGUUAAGAUAAUCCAUCACAAAGAAGUCAAUUAUGGGAAACCAAAAAGCAGUAUAGGAAAAAGUCAAAACUUUGAGGAGCAUUUUAGAGCUGUCUGGUACCACAAGAGUUCAAGUUUUGCUUACAAUUAUUAUUAUUAUUAUUAAACUAUAUAAAUCUCA